rnacentral:lncRNA from 1 species
CUUGAGAGAAAAAAGGCAAUAAGGACCCAAAAUAAUAUCAUAAAAAUGUAUUCCCAUGCAAUGUUUGUGUCUUCUCUAGAGACAAACUCUUAAUGUAAAACCACCAUCAGAGCCACCCUGGAGUUAUGGCAAGGCCACCACAGUCUCCUCCAAAGGCCACUGAUAUGGAACUGGGAACCUCCCUCCAUAGAAUGCUAAAUGGCUGAUGUGAACUUGGUUAAGGAUCUAUAAUUCUUCUUACGAAGAGGAAAGUUCUGGAAGACCAAAGAAAAUAUGUCAUGAAAUCAAGCCAUUAAGAAGUUGUGACUCCAAAAAAGUAAAAGCGUGAGCUACUGUACACACAUGUAUGUUUCUGUCCAUGGCUCCUGGCUUACAACCCUCCGUAGCCCUGGUUACGGUCUUCUGUUAUAAUGUUGGGGUGCUUUAGGGCUCAGGAGCAAUCCUCAGGAAACAGAAUCUCUCUCUCUGACCUUCUCCUGUCCUCCUUUUACCUGAUCCAAGGCAAGACUCUAAUCUGAUUGUGGGUCCAGAGAUCCUCAUUCUCAUUCUCAUUCUAGAGAGGGUCCUGCCCUUUACUGUGGAGGGAGGAAUGCUGCACAGAGAGGUCAAGGAGAAUCUGGACAGGCCUUGGUGGGCUUCCCCACUCAGUCGGUUAGUAUGAGAACAUACCCAUUUUGUCCAAUCACAUUUCUACACAGUUGUCAUUCGUGCUUAUGUAAUGAAGCCUCCAUAAAAUCUCAAAAAACAGGAUUCAGAGAGCUUCCAGAGAGCAUUUUGAAUACAUGGAGGUUGACAGGAAGGUGCAAAACUCAUUCGUGUGCCAGGAGGGAGGUACAUCCCAACUCCAUGGGGACAGAAGCUCCUGUACUCGGGACCCUUCCAGACCUCGCCCUAUGUAUCCCUUCAUUUGGCUAUUUCUUUGUAUCCUUUCUUUUUUUUUUAUUUUUUGAGACAAAGACUCCCUCUGUUGACCAGUACAGUGGCGCAAUCUCAGCUCACUGCAAUCUCUGCCUCCCAGGUUCAAGCACUUCUCCUGCCUCAGCCUCCCGAGUGGCUGAGAUUAUAGGCAUGCACCACCAC